GGGAAUGUGGCUUAGUGGUAGAGUGCUUGCCUAGCAUGCAUGAAGCCCAGGGUUCAAUUCCUCAGUACCA
rnacentral:tRNA from 1 species